AUUGAACGCUGGCGGCAGGCCUAACACAUGCAAGUCGAGCGGAUGAAGGGAGCUUGCUCCUGGAUUCAGCGGCGGACAGGUGAGUAAUGCCUAGGAAUCUGCCUGGUAGUGGGGGAUAACGUCCGGAAACGGGCGCUAAUACCGCAUACGUCCUGAGGGAGAAAGUGGGGGAUCUUCGGACCUCACGCUAUCAGAUGAGCCUAGGUCGGAUUAGCUAGUUGGUGGGGUAAAGGCCUACCAAGGCGACGAUCCGUAACUGGUCUGAGAGGAUGAUCAGUCACACUGGAACUGAGACACGGUCCAGACUCCUACGGGAGGCAGCAGUGGGGAAUAUUGGACAAUGGGCGAAAGCCUGAUCCAGCCAUGCCGCGUGUGUGAAGAAGGUCUUCGGAUUGUAAAGCACUUUAAGUUGGGAGGAAGGGCAGUAAGUUAAUACCUUGCUGUUUUGACGUUACCAACAGAAUAAGCAGCGGCUAACUUCGU
rnacentral:rRNA from 1 species